AUUGAACGCUGGCGGCAUGCUUUACACAUGCAAGUCGAACGGUAACAGGUUAAGCUGACGUGUGGCGAACGGGUGAGUAAUGCAUCGGAACGUGCCCGAUCGUGGGGGAUAACGCAGCGAAAGCUGCGCUAAUACCGCAUACGAUCUGAGGAUGAAAGCGGGGGACCGUAAGGCCUCGCGCGAUCGGAGCGGCCGAUGUCAGAUUAGGUAGUUGGUGGGGUAAAGGCUCACCAAGCCAACGAUCUGUAGCUGGUCUGAGAGGACGACCAGCCACACUGGGACUGAGACACGGCCCAGACUCCUACGGGAGGCAGCAGUGGGGAAUUUUGGACAAUGGGCGAAAGCCUGAUUCAGCAAUGCCGCGUGCAGGAAGAAGGCCUUCGGGUUGUAAACUGCUUUUGUACGGAGCGAAAAGGUUCUCUCUAAUACAGAGGGCUCAUGACGGUACCGUAAGAAUAAGCACCGGCUAACUACGUGCCAGCCGCCGCGGUAACAC
rnacentral:rRNA from 1 species